rnacentral:lncRNA from 1 species
AUCUGUUAAUUAUGAUAUAUUUAAGGACUAAAAAAUAAAUUUUUCAUAUAACAUUAAAUUUUAAACUGAUUCAUAAACCGAAAGAAAAUUAAACAAGCUCAAUGAAACUCGCGGCCAUUAUCAUCUGCAACGAUCUUGAGAAGCACCUAUCUGGAUCCCAAGAAGCUGAAGACCAUGCGAGGCACACUGCAAAGGAUCAAGCAUAAUAAGCUCCAAAUUAAAGCAAAUGAGCAACUCAGGAACACAAGAGUUAAGGAGGACCCAAAAACAGCAAGUAAAGAGAAACCUAUGGAGAGCCAGACAAUUUAAAAUGGCAUGGCAUAUAUAGCUCUAACUUUUCAGAUAGCCUGACUGGAGCAAUCUGAAAACAGAA